rnacentral:rRNA from 1 species
UGGGGAAUAUUGCACAAUGGGGGAAACCCUGAUGCAGCAACGCCGCGUGAAGGAAGACGGUCUUCGGAUUGUAAACUUUUGUUCUUGGUGAAGAAUAAUGACGGUAGCCAAGGAGGAAGCCACGGCUAACUACGUGCCAGCAGCCGCGGUAAUACGUAGGUGGCAAGCGUUGUCCGGAAUUACUGGGUGUAAAGGGAGCGCAGGCGGGAAAUCAAGUUGGAUGUGAAAUGUCGGGGCUUAACCCCGGAACUGCAUCCAAAACUGAUAUUCUUGAGUGAAGUAGAGGUAGGCGGAAUUCCGAGUGUAGCGGUGAAAUGCGUAGAUAUUCGGAGGAACACCAGUGGCGAAGGCGGCCUACUGGGCUUUAACUGACGCUGAGGCUCGAAAGUGUGGGGAGCAAACAGG